UGCACAAACACAGAACAAAAAUCAAGAUUUAAAGAGAAAAAAAAUACAUUUUGAGAAAUAAACUUAUCCGCUUUCUUUCUGAAAGUAAGAUGAGAAGAUAUCGCUCUCAUGCCUGUGAGCUCCAACAGGUCCGAUUACUGCCAGCAACUGCUCUGAGCUCACUGUGAAAGACACAUUCUGCAAAGUUGGAGCCUCUAGCAUCUGUAAGCAAAAGAAAAAGUAAAUGAACUGAAGCAACACCACAGGUAGCAAAUAUGCAGAAGCCCCAGAUGCUGCGAAGCAACUUCAUCCAGAAGAAGAAAAUUCUAAAAAGAAGAAUCACACUCAAAAAUAUCAGUUUCCAUAGAUGGGAAAGAAGAGCGUGAUGGUGAGUCUGACUGCCCCGUAGAGAGACAUAGCCAUAAAUACUCUGCUAGCAGUCAACUUGUUCCCCAUCAGCAC